UGGGCAAUCUGCCCUUCUCAUCGGAAUAAGCGUUGGAAACGACGUCUAAUGCCGAAUACGACCUCCUUUCGCAUGAUCGGAGGUGGAAAGCUCCGGCGGAGAAGGAUGAGCUCGCGGCCUAUCAGCUAGUUGGUGAGGUAAUAGCUCACCAAGGCGAUGACGGGUAGCCGGCCUGAGAGGGUGACCGGCCACACUGGGACUGAGACACGGCCCAGACUCCUACGGGAGCAG
rnacentral:rRNA from 1 species